rnacentral:rRNA from 1 species
GACGAACGCUGGCGGCGUGCCUAAUACAUGCAAGUAGAACGCUGAAGGAGGAGCUUGCUUCCCUGGAUGAGUUGCGAACGGGUGAGUAACUCGUAGGUAACCUGCCUGGUAGCGGGGGAUAACUAUUGGAAACGAUAGCUAAUACCGCAUAAGAGUAGAUGUUGCAUGACAUUUGCUUAAAAGGUGCAAUUGUAUCCCUACCAGAUGGACCUGCGUUGCAUUAGCUUGUUGGUGGGGUAAAGGCCGACCAUGCCGAAGAUGCAUAGCAGACCUGAGAGGGGGAUCGGCAAAAAGGGGACUGAGACACGGCCCAGCAUCCUACGGGAGGCAGCAGUAGGGAAUAUUCCGCAAUGGGCGAAAGUCUGACGGAGCAACGCCGAGGGAGGGAAGAAGGAUUUAGGGUAGUAAAGCUCUGUUGUUAGGGAAGAAUGAGUGUGUAGUAACUAUACACAGUAGAGACGGUACCUAACCAGAAAGCAACGGCUAACUACGUG